CUACGGGAGGCUGCAGUGAGGAAUAUUGGUCAAUGGGCGCGAGCCUGAACCAGCCAUCCCGCGUGCAGGAUGACGGCCCUAUGGGUUGUAAACUGCUUUUCUAUGCCAAGAAACCUGAUUACGUGUAAUCAGUUGCCGGUAGCAUAGGAAUAAGCAUCGGCUAACUCCGUGCCAGCAGCCGCGGUAAUACGGAGGAUGCAAGCGUUAUCCGGAUUCAUUGGGUUUAAAGGGUGCGCAGGUGGGCUUGUAAGUCAGUGGUGAAAUGCUGCCGCUUAACGGUAGAAGUGCCAUUGAUACUGCGAGUCUUGAGUAUGGUUGAGGUAGGCGGAAUGUGUUGUGUAGCGGUGAUAUGCAUAGAUAUGACACAGAACGCCAAUUGCGAAGGCAGCUUACUAAGCCAUUACUGACGCUGAGGCACGAAAGCGUGGGGAGCGAACAGGAUUAGAUACCCGAGUAGUC
rnacentral:rRNA from 1 species